AUUGAACGCUGGCGGCAGGCUUAACACAUGCAAGUCGAGCGGAGAUGAGGUGCUUGCACCUUAUCUUAGCGGCGGACGGGUGAGUAAUGCUUAGGAAUCUGCCUAUUAGUGGGGGACAACAUUCCGAAAGGAAUGCUAAUACCGCAUACGUCCUACGGGAGAAAGCAGGGGAUCUUCGGACCUUGCGCUAAUAGAUGAGCCUAAGUCGGAUUAGCUAGUUGGUGGGGUAAAGGCCUACCAAGGCGACGAUCUGUAGCGGGUCUGAGAGGAUGAGCCGCCACACUGGGACUAGUACACGGCACAGACUCCGACGGGAGGCAGCAGUGGGGAAUAUUGGACAAUGGGGGGAACCCUGAUCCAGCCAUGCCGCGUGUGUGAAGAAGGCCUUAUGGUUGUAAAGCACUUUAAGCGAGGAGGAGGCUACUGAGACUAAUACUCUUGGAUAGUGGACGUUACUCGCAGAAUAAGCACCGGCUAACUCUGUGCCAGCCGCCGCCGUAACAC
rnacentral:rRNA from 1 species